UGCAAUAUUCAAAGGAUGAGGCUUGUUCUGUUUAUGGCUCUGCUAUUUCUUCUCCACUGCUUGUUCCAAGAAAGGAGAAGGCAAAACUGUAAAGAAAUUGAAAGGUUGUACCUGUCGUGGCUGGUGGAGACGGUGUUCAUGUGGUAGAUCUUUGAAGGUGGAUGAGCGCGAAGCUUCAGAAAUCGUGCAGGAUUUUAAGCGGAUGGAAGAAUUGGCUGAAGAUGCCACAGAAGAUUAAGACACAAUCAAUCUCAGAGAGAAAAAAAGUUGUGAGACUACAUUUGUUGAAUAAAGUUCGAAUUGUUUA